UUGAAAAAAUGUAAAUGUUAUUUUUUUGACAUAAUUUGGCGGCCUCCCUGCACUAACUCUGGGACCCCCAAGGGGGUCACGGACCCCCUGUUGAUAAUCUC